rnacentral:rRNA from 1 species
CCUACGGGAGGCAGCAGUGAGGAAUAUUGGUCAAUGGACGCAAGUCUGAACCAGCCAUGCCGCGUGCAGGAAGACGGCUCUAUGAGUUGUAAACUGCUUUUGUACGGGCGUAAACGCAGAUACGCGUAUCUGUCUGAAAGUAUCGUACGAAUAAGGAUCGGCUAACUCCGUGCCAGCAGCCGCGGUAAUACGGAGGAUUCAAGCGUUAUCCGGAUUUAUUGGGUUUAAAGGGAGCGUAGGCGGUCGGAUAAGUUAGUGGUGAAAUCUUGAGGCUCAACUUCGAAAUUGCAUCUGAUACUGUUCGUCUAGAGAGUAGUAGAGGUAGGCGGAAUGUAUGGUGUAGCGGUGAAAUGCUUAGAGAUCAUACAGAACACCGAUUGCGAAGGCAGCUUACCAGGCUACUUCUGACGUUGAGGCACGAAAGCGUGGGGAGCAAACAGGAUUAGAUACCCGAGUAGUC